AAAAAGUUAGUUAAAAUAUAACAUUAAUUUGUCAUAUUAAAAUUAUUAAUUUAUUUAAUACUUUUUU
rnacentral:tRNA from 1 species